UACGCAGGGGGCAAGCGUUGUCCGGAAUCAUUGGGCGUAAAGCGCGUGUAGGCGGCUCGAUAAGUCCGCUCUGAAAGUCCAGGGCUCAACCCUGGGAUGCGGGUGGAUACUGUCGGGCUCGAGUCCGGAAGAGGCGAGUGGAAUUCCUGGUGUAGCGGUGAAAUGCGCAGAUAUCAGGAGGAACACCAAUGGCGAAGGCAGCUCGCUGGGACGUGACUGACGCUGAGACGCGAAAGCGUGGGGAGCAAACAGG
rnacentral:rRNA from 1 species